rnacentral:rRNA from 1 species
UACGAAGGGGGCUAGCGUUGUUCGGAAUUACUGGGCGUAAAGCGCACGUAGGCGGAUUGCUAAGUCAGGGGUGAAAUCCCGGGGCUCAACCUCGGAACUGCCUUUGAUACUGACAAUCUCGAGUCCGAUAGAGGUGGGUGGAAUUCCUAGUGUAGAGGUGAAAUUCGUAGAUAUUAGGAAGAACACCGGUGGCGAAGGCGGCCCACUGGAUCGGUACUGACGCUGAGGUGCGAAGCGUGGGGAGCGAACAGG